UACGUAGGGCGCAAGCGUUGUCCGGAAUUAUUGGGCGUAAAGAGCUCGUAGGCGGCUUGUCACGUCGAUUGUGAAAGCCCGAGGCUUAACCUCGGGUCUGCAGUCGAUACGGGCUAGCUAGAGUGUGGUAGGGGGAGAUCGGAAUUCCUGGUGUAGCGGUGGAAUGCGCAGAUAUCAGGAGGAACACCGAUGGCGAAGGCAGUUCUCUGGGCCGUAACUGACGCUGAGGAGCGAAAGCGUGGGGAGCGAACAGG
rnacentral:rRNA from 1 species